rnacentral:rRNA from 1 species
CAUGCCGUAAACGAUGAUUACUAGGUGUGGGUGGUCUGACCCCAUCCGUGCCGGAGUUAACACAAUAAGUAAUCCACCUGGGGAGUACGGCCGCAAGGUUGAAACUCAAAGGAAUUGACGGGGGCCCGCACAAGCAGUGGAGUAUGUGGUUUAAUUCGAAGCAACGCGAAGAACCUUACCAGGUCUUGACAUCCAACUAACGAGGCAGAGAUGCGUUAGGUGCCCUUCGGGGAAAGUUGAGACAGGUGG